rnacentral:rRNA from 1 species
GGGCAAUGCGCUGCUACACAUGCAGUCGAGCGGAGAUGAAGAAGUUUACUUUGGAUUCUUAGCGGCGGACGGGUGAGUAACGCGUGGGCAACCUACCCUGUACAGGGGGAUAACAAUGGGAAACCAUUGCUAAUACCCCAUGACGCCUUUUGGGGGCAUCCCUAAAAGGUCAAAGAACUUCGGUACAGGAUGGGCCCGCGUCUGAUUAGCUAGUUGGUGAGGUAAUGGCUCACCAAGGCGACGAUCAGUAGCCGGCCUGAGAGGGUGAACGGCCACACUGGAACUGAGACACGGUCCAGACUCCUACGGGAGGCAGCAGUGGGGAAUAUUGCACAAUGGGGGAAACCCUGAUGCAGCAACGCCGCGUGAGCGAUGAAGGCCUUCGGGUCGUAAAGCUCUGUCCUAAGGGAAGAUAAUGACGGUACCUUAGGAGGAAGCCCCGGCUAACUACGUGCCAGCAGCCGCGGUAAUACGUAGGGGGCAAGCGUUAUCCGGAAUCAUUGGGCGUAAAGGGUGCGUAGGCUGCCCUAUAGGUCAGAGGUCAAAGGCUACGGCUCAACCGUAGUAAGCCUUUGAAACUGUAGGGCUUGAGUGCAGGAGAGGAGAGUGGAAUUCCUAGUGUAGCGGUGAAAUGCGUAGAUAUUAGGAGGAACACCAGUGGCGAAGGCGACUCUCUGGACUGCAACUGACGCUGAGGCACGAAAGCGUGGGUAGCGAACAGGAUUAGAUACCCUGGUAGUCCACGCCGUAAACGAUGAGUGCUAGGUGUUGGGGGUCGAACCUCGGUGCCGAAGUUAACGCAUUAAGCACUCCGCCUGGGGAGUACGUACGCAAGUAUGAAACUCAAAGGAAUUGACGGGGACCCGCACAAGCAGCGGAGCAUGUGGUUUAAUUCGAAGCAACGCGAAGAACCUUACCUGGACUUGACAUCCCUCUGACCGAUUCUUAACCGAAUCCUUCCCUUCGGGGACAGAGGAGACAGGUGGUGCAUGGUUGUCGUCAGCUCGUGUCGUGAGAUGUUGGGUUAAGUCCCGCAACGAGCGCAACCCUUGUUCUUUAGUUGCCAUCAUUAAGUUGGGCCACUUCUAGAGAGAACUGCCCGGGG